GAUGAAGAACGCAGUGAAAUGCGAUAAGUAAUGUGAAUUGCAGAAUUCAGUGAAUCAUCGAAUCUUUGAACGCACAUUGCGCCCGCCAGUAUUCUGGCGGGCAUGCCUGUUCGAGCGUCAUUUCAACCAUCAAGCCCUGCUUGCGUUGGGGUCCUGCGGCUGCCCGCAGGCCCUGAAAACCAGUGGCGGGCUCGCUAGUCACACCGAGCGCAGUAAUACAUCUCGCUUUGGGCGUGCGGCGGGUUCUUGCCGUUAAACACCCCCUUUUUACCAAGGUUGACCUCGGAUCAGGUAGGAAUACCCGCUGAACUUAAGCAUAUCAAUAAGCGGAGA
rnacentral:misc_RNA from 1 species